UGGAUGGAUAAUCACAGCUCGCAACCAAGAAAUUAAAUCAGCCAAGGUUAUCGCAUUAAUAAGCCCCCUGGUUCUGCUCUUUUGGUUUUUAUAGCUUCAGUUUUGACUGAACUUUUGGGGUCAGUAGACUGAUUUAAAUCAAAGCUAUAAUUGAGCCUCGCCUGAGAAGCCAGAACCGAACGCGGUCCACGAGGUGCCGCGAAUACCAAUCUGGGGGUCU